rnacentral:rRNA from 1 species
AGAACGAACGCUGGCGGCAGGCCUAACACAUGCAAGUCGAACGCUCGUAGCAAUACGGGAGUGGCGCACGGGUGAGUAACGCGUGGGCACCUGCCCGGUGGUUUGGGAUAACCGUGGGAAACUGCGGCUAAUACCGGGUACGCCCUAGGGGGAAAGAUUUAUCGCCAUCGGAUGGGCCCGCGUAGGAUUAGCUAGUUGGUGAGGUAACGGCUCACCAAGGCGACGAUCCUUAGCUGGUCUGAGAGGAUGAUCAGCCACACUGGGACUGAGACACGGCCCAGACUCCUACGGGAGGCAGCAGUGGGGAAUAUUGGACAAUGGGGGCAACCCGUGACUCCAGCCGAUGCCGCGUGGAGUGGAAGAGGCUUCGGGUUAGUAAA